ACAGUUUCUAACCUGAGCAGUAUUAUUUGGAGAAUCAGAAAAAAAGGAGGAAAGACUCCAACAGGAACACCUAUGGGCCUGGUACACUGCCGACUGCUGAGGGAUCUCUGGGAUGUCCAUCUUUCCCAGCUGGUGAGCCCAGCUGCC